rnacentral:rRNA from 1 species
GACGAACGCUGGCGGCGUGCUUAACACAUGCAAGUCGAACGAAGUGGCGAACGGGUGAGUAAUACGUGAGUAACCUGCCCUCCUUUUUGGGAUAAGCCUUGGAAACGUGGUCUAAUACCUAAUAAAGGGGGAUGGGCUCGCGGCCUAUCAGCUUGUUGGUGGGGUGAUGGCCUCACAAGGCGGUGACGGGUAGCCGGCCUUAGGGGGUGACCGGACACAGUGGGACUGAGAUACGGCACAGACUCCUACGGGAGGGAGGAGAGGGGGAUAUUGCACAAUGGGCGAAAGCCAGAUGGAGAGAUGCCGCGUGGGGGAUGAAGGCUUUCGGGUUGUAAACCUCUUUAGCUAUCGAAAGGGUAGGUGGAGAAGAAGCGCCGGCUAACUACGUGCCAGCAGCCGCGGUAAUUC